GCAUUAAUGGGGUAGUGGUAACCUGGGUCGUUGCCAAUCGAUGUACGUCGACCCGCCGGGGGUUCGAUUCCCUCUUAAUGCA